GCGGAUUGCAGACUCGUGGUGUUGGUGCCACGCGCGAGGAUGCGGUGGCGGCGGCCAAUGGAAGGCGGAUGCAACGUCCCUUUGCCGACAAUGAGCCACCGCGUGGCGUGAGUCGGUGUCUGUCGCCUGACGAAGACGCAGCGUUCAAGAACAAGAACAAUAGUAUUUCAGAUUAGCAACACUUCAUCUUCAGAGAACACUUCUUCGUCAAUAGGGAGUAUUUCGAGACUCGAGAGGGCUUUAGAAGAGGAAGAAAGGAUAUGGCAGCCGAAGAAACGUUUGACAGGUUGCUGCUAAAUGAAUUGUGUGGUGAGUUCUGGAGGCAAUCGUUCUCAUCAAUUGAAAAUAACUAAAACGAUCUCCGGUACUGAGGAUCCUGCUGUUUAGCGGAGAUCCUUUGUAAAAUUGUUUUUUGUUUUGUCUCUUUGUUCAGGCAACAUGUUGUGUUCCCGAUAAAAGAGAUGGACGUGGAAGAGCUCUGUACCUGAACUUUUUGCUUUGAGAGAGAGCAAUUUGUGUAUCUGAACUUUGACGCAGAUAUGGCAGAAUAAAAAUGGAGAGGCGUAUUAUUAAUC